rnacentral:lncRNA from 1 species
GAAGGACGCUGUGGCCUUCGCCUCCUGGCCCUGUUCCCCCACCCUUUACGGCACUGAAGCAGCUGUCUGGGCCAGAAGCCCGCAAACUUCCUGUGGAGGGCGAGGCCAGCAGUGUGUGCAUCUGUGGCUGCCCUGGACGUCUGCCCCACUGUUUGCCAGACCCUGAACUGGGCGCUGGAGAUAGGGAAGUGCUCAGGAUCGCACCAUCCCCACGCUCCUCGGCUUCGGUGCUGGUGGAACAGAAAGAGACCGACGAGGGCAAGACGGUUAAAUGAACAAGCAGCAUAGAGCGUCUGGGGGAACCACCAGGCUCCUGAGAAACAGCAACACAGAAAAACAUGCCUGGAGUCAGAGGGGGCGGCUCGCAGGACAGUGUCAAGGCUGGGCCUUGAGUACAUGGGCUGCAUCGAGGUUCUCCGCUCUAUGCGCUCCCUGGACUUUAACACGCGCACGCAGGUGACCAGGUGUCGGUCACCGUGCCCUGCAGACCUCGAUCCUCUAAGAUGGAAAGAACACGCCGGUCGCUCACAGGGUGCUGGGCAAGUCCCCGCACGGCGUGGGGUGCAGGGCCUGGCGGGUUCCCUCUGGGACCGGGGCCCAGUGGCGUCUCCGUGUCCCUGCUCUGUUUUCCACACGGUGACCUCAGGAUGCUAUGCGGUGUCUGGAAAGCAAUCACAGGGGCUGUGGAUAUGGCCAGGGCUUAAGCAGGGAAGAGAGCGACACCCUUUUUUUCUGUGAAAACUGGUUGAUUCCAUUCGUAUAGACUUAAAAAAACCAUGUGAGACAGUUUACACGUGCGUAUGUGAGAUAUAAUGUACAGUUUGAGACUUUAGGCUCUUCACAGAGUCACACGAUCACCACUGUCUAGUUCCGAACAUUCUCAUUACCCCAUCAAAACACCCCGUCCCCAUCACAGCCACUCCCCGUCCCCUCCCCAGCCCCGGCACCCACGCAUCCCCUCCCUGUCUCUGUGGAUCGGCCUGUCCUGGACAUUUCAUAGCAAUGGGAUCACACGCUGCGUGGCCUCGUGUGUCUGGCGUCUCUCACUGAGCAUGGCGUUCCCGAGGUGUGUCCGCGCUGUGGCCUGGGUCAGAGCCUUGCUCCUUUUUUUUUUUUUUUUUUGAGAUGGAGUCUCACUCUGUUGCCCAGGCUGGAGUGCAGUGACACCGUGUCGGCUCACUGCAACCUCUGUCUCCUGGGUUCAAGCAUUUCUCUUGCCUCAGCCUCCCCAGUAGCUGGGACUACAGGCGCCCACCACCACACCCAGCUAGUUUUUAUGUUUUUAGUAGAGACGGGGUUUCUCCAUGUUGGUCAGACCGGUCUCGAACCCCUGACCUCAGGUGAUCCGCCCGUCUCAGCCUCCCCAAGUGUUGGGAUGACAGGUGGGGGCCGCCGCGCCUGCAUGCAUUUGUUUGUGUCAGGCCCACAGUGCUAGGAUGACAGGCAGGAGCCGCUGCAUCUGGCCAAUUUUUAACCUUUUGAGGAGCCCCCAGGCUGUUUUCCACAGUGGCCGUGCUGUGAAAAUUCCCACAUGCCCUGGGUGGGGGAUCUGGUUUCUCCACGUGACGCCGACAUUUCCGGGGCCCCUUCAGGACCCUGUAGACUUCUAACCUCUCCUGGGGACCAGUGGUCUGAGGCGCUCUUGUUUGGGGUCAGCUCCUGCCACCACUCAGGCUGCAGACAGGAUCUCGACACGGACCCCGCGUCAGGCUCAGGGCCUCCUGCUCGCUGCUCCAACCCCCACAUCUGAUGCCGAGCCUUCCUUGUGGGCCGAGGCCAGGGACACACUGGUCCCUGGGAAAGAGGGUGGUAGAGGGGCCAGAGCUGGGGGCCGGGCCUCUGCCGGAUGCAAGGACGCACGUGGAGUGGGCUGGUGCCCAAGCUGCACCUGUCCUGUGGGGCACUCCUCCCCCAGGUUCCCCAGCCCCCUCCCUGCCCACUUUAGGCCCCCUGAUCCUCUCCCACCCCUCCCUCUCUGCCUUCCUCUCC